AGUGAGGAGAAGCCGUGGGCGGGGCGGGCUCGGCUGCCAGAGCGGCGUGAAAAAUUUCCCAAGGCGGAGCGAAAACCUUUCCUGAGCGACUGAGCAUGCCCGGUGGUGAAAGGGAAUGCUGAGUUCAGGUGCUGGGUGCUGGGCCAGCUAAUAACAGAAGGGUAUGUGGUUUAAACUCUCCAUGGGCUGACAAAAUCAGAUUUCUGACUCUGCAAAGCUAAGAAGACUCUGCUCCUGGAAGGCCUCUCCACUGACAGACUGGGACACCGGUUUGAACCCUGGUCCGGGAAGAUCCCACAUGCUGUGGAGCAACUACUGAGCCUGCGUGCCACAACUACUGAGCCUGUGUGCUGCAACUACUGAAGUCCACACACCUAGAGCCCGUGCUCCACAACAAGAGAAGCCACCGCAGUGAGAAGCCCGCACACUGCAAGGA